AGUUGUUUCAUUGCACUGAGCCCUGAGAUUCCCAAGGAGUAACCAUAAAAGAUUUCUUUUAUUUUGUCCAUGACCUACGAGACAGGAUCAUUCUAAGAAGAGCAGGCAUGAGUUUGAGUGCAAGAAGAGUCACUCUGCCUGCAAUAACGCCAAUAAUUCUACAGAAAAGGGUGAUUAAAGUAUACAGUGAAGAUGAAACCAGCAGGGCUUUAGAUGUACCCAGUGACAUAACGGCUCGAGAUGUUUGUCAGCUGUUGAUCCUGAAGAAUCAUUACAUUGAUGACCACAGCUGGACCCUUUUUGAGCACCUGCCUCACAUAGGUGUAGACUACCUGUGGCUCCCUGGAAUGAUCCCCACCUAUCUGUCAUUUCUACUAGCUGUACAUGCCCCCAUUGUACCAUCUUCACAUGUGAUCUGUUUAUGAGAUUUAGUGUUUGUGAGAUCCUGAGGCCUCAUAGAAAGAACAAUAGAAGACCACGAACUGGUGAUUGAAGUGCUAUCCAACUGGGGGAUAGAAGAAGAAAACAAACUAUACUUUAGAAAAAAUUAUGCCAAAUAUGAGUUCUUUAAAAACCCAAUGUAUUUUUUUCCAGAGCAUAUGGUAUCUUUUGCAACUGAAACCAAUGGUGAAAUAUCCCCCACACAGAUUUUGCAGAUGUUUCUGAGUUCAAGCACAUAUCCUGAAAUUCAUGGUUUCUUACAUGCGAAAGAACAGGGAAAGAAGUCUUGGAAAAAAAUUUACUUUUUUCUAAGAAGAUCUGGUUUAUAUUUUUCUACUAAAGGAACAUCAAAGGAACCGCGGCAUUUGCAGUUUUUCAGUGAAUUUGGCAAUAGUGAUAUUUAUGUGUCACUGGCAGGCAAAAAAAAACAUGGAGCACCGACUAACUAUGGAUUCUGCUUUAAGGUACAGGCUUAAUAUUUUGAUAGAUGAAUAAAGCAAGCCUCAGCCUUUUAGGUAAGCUUGAGUUUCUUUUAAUUGCUUU
rnacentral:sRNA from 1 species